AUUGAACGCUGGCGGCAUGCUUUACACAUGCAAGUCGAACGGCAGCGCGGGGGCAACCCUGGCGGCGAGUGGCGAACGGGUGAGUAAUAUAUCGGAACGUACCCAAGAGUGGGGGAUAACGUAGCGAAAGUUACGCUAAUACCGCAUACGAUCUAUGGAUGAAAGCAGGGGAUCGCAAGACCUUGUGCUCCUGGAGCGGC
rnacentral:rRNA from 1 species